UACGUAGGGCGCAAGCGUUGUCCGGAAUUAUUGGGCGUAAAGAGCUCGUAGGCGGUUUGUUGCGUCGGCUGUGAAAUCCCGAGCUCAACCUCGGGUCUGCAGUCGAUACGAGCAAACUAGAGUGUUGCAGGGGAGACUGGAAUUCCUGGUGAUAGCGGUGAAAUGCGCAGAUAUCAGGAGGAACACCGGUGGCGAAGGCGGGUCACUGGCCCGGUACUGACGCUGGAGGUGCGAAAGCGUGGGGAGCAAACAGG
rnacentral:rRNA from 1 species